UACGUAGGGUGCAGGCGUUAAUCGGAAUUACUGGGCGUAAAGCGUGCGCAGGCGGUUUCUUAAGUCAGAUGUGAAAGCCCCGGGCUUAACCUGGGAACUGCGUUUGAAACUGGGAGACUUGAGUGUGGCAGAGGGGGGUGGAAUUCCACGUGUAGCAGUGAAAUGCGUAGAUAUGUGGAGGAACACCGAUGGCGAAGGCAGCCCCCUGGGCCUGCACUGACGCUCAUGCACGAAAGCGUGGGGAGCAAACAGG
rnacentral:rRNA from 1 species